CUAUUCAUAGGGUCCCAAACCACUUUGGCCACAACACCCCCAGACUGGUCCGAAGCCUCGUGAGUUCGCCCUGGUCGUUGCACUCCAGCCUGUCGCUGUGCAGACCUGGCUUAGAGGACCCCUAAGGCUGAGGGGUCACUUCCAGAACUGAGUCCGGUCCGCAGGUUCUGCUACGCUCCAGCCAGCCCCUAACUGGUCCCCAGAAGCGGCGCUGCUACAGGGACCAGGAGCUGCUGCGAACUGCGCUGGCGGGGGCUCGUCCUUGGGCGCGGGGCUUCAUCAUGGACACGCUCUCGGCCCAGGCCGCGAAACAAGCCCGCGUGACUGGCGGAGGCACAGAGACCAAGGCCGCUUAACCUGGCUGGUUGCACUGGUCCCUGGAGAGAUGCCGUGUGAAGGGAGGACUCAGAUGCACUCCCUGUGGUCUGGGCUCAACCAGCCAAAAGAGCAACAAAGACUCCAGAACCCACUCUACCUCCUCAAUCCCUUGGCCAUCUGUGGAGCCCCAGAGCCUGCGGCUGUGGCAAGGUGAGCUCCACACCUUCUCCCCUGGGUAUUACCCCUCUGCUCAGCGUCCUGACCUGUCUUCCUCCUCCUCAGGCCUGUUUCUGCGCUGGACCUGCUCACCUGAGCCUGCAGAAGCUGCAUGGGGGAAGAGUGUGGCAAAUAGUGACAGGAAGGGAGAAGACAGAAGCCUCUCAGCCAACUGCUUCAGCCGAGCCCCUAUUCUAAGCACUGGCUCCUUGGAUAGCAGCUGAGAUGUUCCUGAAACCUCUGCAGGCCCCUUAGGACCUUUACACCUUGGAUGAGGGUGCCUGCAACCCAGGUUAGCCAAAAGUACUGAGGGUCUUAAGUUUGAAGUGUCCAAAGUAUAGGGAGGUCUCAAUAAUAAAAGUCUCCAUGAUCAGCAUCA
rnacentral:lncRNA from 1 species